AUGAAGGCCUGCGGGUUGUAAAGCACUUUGAGUGGUGAAGAAGGCUUGAUGGUUAAUAACCGUCGAGAUUGACAUUAGCCACAGAACAAGCACCGGCUAACUCUGUGCCAGCAGCCGCGGUAAUACAGAGGGUGCGAGCGUUAAUCGGAAUUACUGGGCGUAAAGGGCGCGUAGGUGGAUAAAUAAGUCGGAUGUGAAAUCCCCGGGCUUAACCUGGGAAUGGCAUACGAAACUGUGUAUCUAGAGUUGAGUAGAGGGAAGUGGAAUUUCCGGUGUAGCGGUGAAAUGCGUAGAUAUCGGAAGGAACACCAGUGGCGAAGGCGGCUUCCUGGAUUCAAACUGACACUGAGGCGCGAAAGCGUGGGUAGCAAACAGGAUUAGAUACCCUGGUAGUCCACGCUGUAAACGAUGAGAACUAGACGUUGGAAGGUUAAAACCUUUUAGUGUCGAAGCUAACGCGAUAAGUUCUCCGCCUGGGGAGUACGGCCGCAAGGUUAAAACUCAAAGGAAUUGACG
rnacentral:rRNA from 1 species